AAAAUGUCUGGCCAUUCCCAUCCAAGAGCAGGCAGAGGUGAGCACUGCCUGUCUUUCUGCAGCUACUGGAGACAGAUUUCUUCUGAGGAAGUAGAAUAACAAUUCUCACUGAAGUGGGAUAACAGUUUCUCAGAUCUGCUGAAAAGAGAAUCACAACCCACAGAACCACGAAGUUUAGAGAACAAUUUCCAGUGCUGUAUUUUGGAAAAGGAAGUUUUAGGAUAUUGGUUUUGCUAAAAGGCAGCAAGCAUCCGUGCUUAUUGUGCUCGCUCUCGCCUCUGAAAAAGCCAGCACCAGAACCAGGCAAUUUUUUCAUGUCUGAAGAGAAACUGUUGGUACAGAUGCCUCUGUAGGAUGCAUCGCUGCCCUGGGCAAAUCUUUAGCAUCCUUCUUUGAUGCUUCCCCUCCUCUUCAAAUGCUGAAGACGUUACUGAGGGGAUUCAGCGGCCUUGAACCUACUGAGAAGCCUGAUGACAGCCCUUUGGCACCAAGCCUUCAUCCCCAAAGCGUGGCUACAGUUGGGGUCAUUGCUGAACCAGCAUCAGAAGAAACCCCAGGACACACAAAAGCUCCCCAGCACAUCCUGGCAAUAGAAGCCACAUUGACCUCCUGAUAGACGUGCUCCAGAGCUGCAGUCUUGCUCACUGCUGCAUCCUCAAAAUAAGGGCAGCAAGACCUGAAGGAGCUGCUGUAGUCAGAUGGGAUUUGGGGACACGCUCACAGGAGCUGGCAGUCAGUAUGGCAAGAGCAAUGGCACUCACCUGGACAGCCCUAGCAACCCUGAGACCUGCUGCUGGAAGAUCUCACGUCACUGGGCUGGAGGAAUGAGCAGGGCCUGCUUCCCUGACUACUCUUCAUCAGUGAUCCUUCACCACAUUCGCAGCGUAGGCAUGCUUUCCAACUCUCUCCAAUUCAGAUCAACCCAUUCAUUUGUGAAAUACUUCUUGAUUCCUAAAGCUUCUAUUACUUUGGAGUUCUUGCAUUACCACAAGCAGUGACAGACUAUUCCACUGUCCUUCUUAAGCAGAUCAUGGUACUACCUACUCCAUGCUACAACUCACAACUGUGUGGUGUAUUAAUUGCUCCUACCUGUAUUAAAACAUCUCCUACAUCACUCAGCUGACAAAAUGCACAGUAUAGAGGCUUGUGCUUGCCUAAAUAGGACUACUUAAACACACCGUUUCUCACUAGCGUGGGCCUCUGGUGAAUGAUAUUCUCACAACUAGUAGCCCUACAGACUUACUACUACAGAUUAAGGAUGUUAAUGUACAAACAACUCAACAUUCACUACCGAGACUUUUAUAUAAAAAUCAGAAAUACAGAACUUUACUACAGCUGAAGAGCAUUUACAGCAGCUCUGCAGAAGGCCAGGUGUUGCAGCAAGGAUGGAGUUUUCAAAACUGAAAAGCUAAGAGCCAUCAGAUGAAAAACUGGGUAAGACCACUGCCGCACAGAAAGCCAGUACUGCCUCGCAGUCCAACCCAAGUCAAAAUAAAGUGGCAACCAUUCAACC
rnacentral:lncRNA from 7 species